GAUGAACGCUGGCGGCGUGCCUAAUACAUGCAAGUCGAGCGAACGGACGAGAAGCUUGCUUCUCUGAUGUUAGCGGCGGACGGGUGAGUAACACGUGGAUAACCUACCUAUAAGACUGGGAUAACUUCGGGAAACCGGAGCUAAUACCGGAUAAUAUUUUGAACCGCAUGGUUCAAAAGUGAAAGACGGUCUUGCUGUCACUUAUAGAUGGAUCCGCGCUGCAUUAGCUAGUUGGUAAGGUAACGGCUUACCAAGGCAACGAUGCAUAGCCGACCUGAGAGGGUGAUCGGCCACACUGGAACUGAGACACGGUCCAGACUCCUACGGGAGGCAGCAGUAGGGAAUCUUCCGCAAUGGGCGAAAGCCUGACGGAGCAACGCCGCGUGAGUGAUGAAGGUCUUCGGAUCGUAAAACUCUGUUAUUAGGGAAGAACAUAUGUGAUAGUAACUGUGCACAUCUUGACGGUACCUAAUCAGAAAGCCACGGCUAACUACGUGCCAGCAGCCGCGGUAAUACGUAGGUGGCAAGCGUUAUCCGGAAUUAUUGGGCGUAAAGCGCGCGUAGGCGGUUUUUUAGUCUGAUGUGAAAGCCCACGGCUCAACCGUGGAGGGUCAUUGGAAACUGGAAAACUUGAGUGCAGAAGAGGAAAGUGGAAUUCCAUGUGUAGCGGUGAAAUGCGCAGAGAUAUGGAGGAACACCAGUGGCGAAGGCGACUUUCUGGUCUGUAACUGACGCUGAUGUGCGAAAGCGUGGGGAUCAAACAGGAUUAGAUACCCUGGUAGUCCACGCCGUAAACGAUGAGUGCUAAGUGUUAGGGGUUUCCGCCCCUUAGUGCUGCAGCUAACGCAUUAAGCACUCCGCCUGGGGAGUACGACCGCAAGGUUGAAACUCAAAGGAAUUGACGGGGACCCGCACAAGCGGUGGAGCAUGUGGUUUAAUUCGAAGCAACGCGAAGAACCUUACCAAAUCUUGACAUCCUUUGACAACUCUAGAGAUAGAGCCUUCCCCUUCGGGGGACAAAGUGACAGGUGGUGCAUGGUUGUCGUCAGCUCGUGUCGUGAGAUGUUGGGUUAAGUCCCGCAACGAGCGCAACCCUUAAGCUUAGUUGCCAUCAUUAAGUUGGGCACUCUAAGUUGACUGCCGGUGACAAACCGGAGGAAGGUGGGGAUGACGUCAAAUCAUCAUGCCCCUUAUGAUUUGGGCUACACACGUGCUACAAUGGACAAUACAAAGGGCAGCGAAACCGCGAGGUCAAGCAAAUCCCAUAAAGUUGUUCUCAGUUCGGAUUGUAGUCUGCAACUCGACUACAUGAAGCUGGAAUCGCUAGUAAUCGUAGAUCAGCAUGCUACGGUGAAUACGUUCCCGGGUCU
rnacentral:rRNA from 1 species